UGCAAGUCGAGCGGCAGCGCGGGGGCAACCCUGGCGGCGAGCGGCGAACGGGUGAGUAAUACAUCGGAACGUGUCCCGUAGUGGGGGAUAGCUCGGCGAAAGCCGGAUUAAUACCGCAUAUGCUCUACGGAGGAAAGCGGGGGAUCCGCAAGGACCUCGCGCUAUGGGAGCGGCCGAUGUCCGAUUAGCUUGUUGGUGGGGUAACGGCCUACCAAGGCGACGAUCGGUAGCUGGUCUGAGAGGAUGAUCAGCCACACUGGGACUGAGACACGGCCCAGACUCCUACGGGAGGCAGCAGUGGGGAAUUUUGGACAAUGGGGGAAACCCUGAUCCAGCCAUGCCGCGUGAGUGAAGAAGGCCUUCGGGUUGUAAAGCUCUUUUGGUCGGAAAGAAAAGGCUACGGACAAUACCCGUGGUCCUUGACGGUACCGGCAGAAUAAGCACCGGCUAACUACGUGCCAGCAGCCGCGGUAAUACGUAGGGUGCGAGCGUUAAUCGGAAUUACUGGGCGUAAAGCGUGCGUAGGCGGUCCCGCAAGUCCGCUGUGAAAGCCCCGGGCUCAACCUGGGAAUGGCAGUGGAAACUAUGGGACUUGAAUCUGGCAGAGGGGGGUGGAAUGCCACGUGUAGCAGUGAAAUGCGUAGAGAUGUGGCGGAACACCGAUGGCGAAGGCAGCCCCCUGGGCUGAGAUUGACGCUCAGGCACGAAAGCGUGGGGAGCAAACAGGAUUAGAUACCCUGUAGUCCACGCCCUAAACGAUGACAACUAGGUGUUGGGGAAGCGAUUUCUCAGUACCGCAGCUAACGCGUGAAGUUGUCCGCCUAGGGAGUACGGUCGCAAGAUUAAAACUCAAAGGAAUUGAC
rnacentral:rRNA from 1 species